rnacentral:rRNA from 1 species
UACGAAGGGGGCUAGCGUUGUUCGGAAUUACUGGGCGUAAAGCGCGCGUAGGCGGAUCGCUAAGUCAGGGGUGAAAUCCCAGGGCUCAACCCUGGAACUGCCUCUGAUACUGGCAAUCUGGAGAUCGGGAGAGGUUGGUGGAAUUCCGAGUGUAGAGGUGAAAUUCGUAGAUAUUCGGAGGAACACCGGUGGCGAAGGCGGCUUCCUGGACCGAUUACUGACGCUGAGGCGCGAAAGCUAGGGGAGCAAACGGG